rnacentral:rRNA from 1 species
GUUAGGAAUAUUGGACAAUGGGCGCAAGCCUGAUCCAGCCAUGCCGCGUGAACGAUGAAGGCCUUCGGGUUGUAAAGUUCUUUAGCCGAUGAUUAUAAUGACUGUAGUCGGAAAAUAAGCCCCGGCUAACUUCGUGCCAGCAGCCGCGGUAAUACGAAGGGGGCGAGCGUUAUUCGGAAUCACUGGGCGUAAAGCGUGCGUAGGCGGUCUCGUAAGUUAGGAGUGAAAGCCCAGGGCUCAACCUUGGAAUUGCUCUUAAAACUGCAAGGCUAGAAUCUCGGAGAGGAUAGCGGAAUUUCCAGUGUAGCAGUGAAAUGCGUAGAUAUUGGAAGGAACACCAGUGGCGUAAGCGGCUAUCUGGACGAGUAUUGACGCUGAGGCACGAAAGCGUGGGGAUCAAACAGGAUUAGAAACCCCAGUAGUCC